UACGUAGGGGGCAAGCGUUAUCCGGAUUUACUGGGUGUAAAGGGAGCGUAGACGGCGCGGCAAGUCUGAAGUGAAAGGCAGGGGCUUAACCCCUGAACUGCUUUGGAAACUGCCAUGCUGGAGUGCCGGAGAGGUAAGCGGAAUUCCUAGUGUAGCGGUGAAAUGCGUAGAUAUUAGGAGGAACACCAGUGGCGGAGGCGGCUUACUGGACGGUAACUGACGCUGAGGCUCGAAAGCGUGGGGAGCAAACAGG
rnacentral:rRNA from 1 species